rnacentral:rRNA from 1 species
UCGAGAAUCUUCGGCAAUGGACGCAAGUCUGACCGAGCGACGCCGCGUGCGAGAUGAAGGCCUUCGGGUUGUAAAUCGCUGUCAGUGGGGAGGAAAUGCUGGUGGGUUCUCCCAUCAGUUUGACCUAUCCGCAGAGGAAGGACGGGCUAAGUUCGUGCCAGCAGCCGCGGUAAUACGGACCGUCCAAACGUUAUUCGGAAUCACUGGGCUUAAAGGGUGCGUAGGCGGCCCGGGAAGUUGGGUGUGAAAGCCCUCGGCUCAACCGAGGAAUUGCGCCCAAAACUGCCGGGCUCGAGGAAGACAGAGGUGAGCGGAACUUAGGGUGGAGCGGUGAAAUGCGUUGAUAUCCUAGGGAACACCAGUAGCGAAAGCGGCUCACUGGGUCUUUUCUGACGCUGAUGCACGAAAGCUAGGGGAGCGAAGA